rnacentral:rRNA from 1 species
CCUACGGGAGGCAGCAGUGAGGAAUAUUGGUCAAUGGGCGUAAGCCUGAACCAGCCAAGUCGCGUGAGGGAUGACUGCCCUAUGGGUUGUAAACUUCUUUUAUAAAGGAAUAAAACGAGGCACGUGUGCCUUUUUGCAUGUACUUUAUGAAUAAGGAUCGGCUAACUCCGUGCCAGCAGCCGCGGUAAUACGGAGGAUCCGAGCGUUAUCCGGAUUUAUUGGGUUUAAAGGGAGCGUAGAUGGGUUGUUAAGUCAGUUGUGAAAGUUUGCGGCUCAACCGUAAAAUUGCAAUUGAUACUGGCUGUCUAGAGUACAGUUGAGGUAGGCGGAAUUCGUGGUGUAGCGGUGAAAUGCUUAGAGAUCACGAAGAACCCCGAUUGCGAAGGCAGCUUACUAAACUGUGACUGACAUUGAUGCUCGAAAGUGUGGGUAUCAAACAGGAUUAGAUACCCCGGUAGUC